UACGUAGGGUCCGAGCGUUGUCCGGAAUUAUUGGGCGUAAAGAGCUCGUAGGCGGUUUGUCGCGUCUGCUGUGAAAUCCCGAGGCUCAACCUCGGGCCUGCAGUGGGUACGGGCAGACUGGAGUGCGGUAGGGGAGAAUGGAAUUCCCGGUGUAGCGGUGGAAUGCGCAGAUAUCAGGAGGAACACCGAUGGCGAAGGCAGUUCUCUGGGCCGUAACUGACGCUGAGGAGCGAAAGCGUGGGGAGCGAACAGG
rnacentral:rRNA from 1 species